rnacentral:rRNA from 1 species
CAGUGCCACGGUAAUACGUAGGGUGCAAGCGUUAAUCGGAAUUACUGGGCGUAAAGCGUGCGCAGGCGGUUUUGUAAGACAGAGGUGAAAUCUCCGGGCUCAACCUGGGAACUGCCUUUGUGACUGCAAGGCUGGAGUGCGGCAGAGGGGGAUGGAACUCCGCGUGUAGCAGUGAAAUGCGUAGAUAUGCGGAGGAACACCGAUGGCGAAGGCAAUCCCCUGGGCCCGCACUGACGCUCAUGCACGAAAGCGCGGGGAGCAAACAGGAUUAGAUACCCCCGUAGUCCCUGUCUCUUAUACA